UCAUUAUCAUCUAAAAAAAGAAACCUUUUUUAUUUUUUUUAUUUUUAAUUGGGCUAAGUCAUUUUUCUCCUUCUCACACAUGCUCACAUCCAUCCCAUAUCCUUCUCUUCUUCCUCUAUCCAUCUAAAAGAAGGGAAAGAAAAAAAAACCCAGAAUCAGAUUGUGAGAGUUCUAAAAAGUUUCCAGCUUUUUUGUGUUUCUCUUGCAGUAAUCAUUAAUUUUGUUGUAAUUUGAAGACCCCUUUUACCGAUCUCUGUUUGUAUGUUCUGGAUGCUAAGUCUAUUUAUUGUCGCCAUGGUCCUCAUGGGUCAGAAUUGAUUGUUCACGAAAGUUCUCUUCUCUUCCUCUUUAUUCUCGUGCCGAGUAUGAAUUUGUGUUAGUUUCUUGAAGCUGGGGCCAUGGUUAGUGGCCAUACAUUCCAUUUAAAGAAGCUGCAUUUAGCUUGUUCAUAUAGUUGAUUCUAGUUUUGGCAAUCUAGAAGGAUUUCUAAGGGAACGUUUCAAGGAUCUGAUUGCAGUAUGGGUUACAUAUGUGAUUUCUGUGGGCAACAAAGGUCGAUUGUGUACUGCCGAUCUGAUGCUGCAGCUUUGUGCUUAUCUUGUGACCGAAAUGUUCACUCUGCUAAUGCCUUGUCAAGGCGCCACUCAAGAACAUUGUUAUGUGAUCGAUGCCAUUCACAAGCAGCAUUUGUUAGAUGUCCUGAAGAGAAUAUUUCACUUUGUCAAAAUUGUGACUAUAUGGGGCAUAGCUCAUCUGCCUCCAUUUCAUCUCGAAAGAGGCAACCAAUCAAUUGCUACUCAGGCUGCCCGACGGCUGCAGAGCUCUCAUCUAUUUGGUCAUUUGUUCUAGAUCUCACUUCUGGAAGUGAUGCUUGUGAGCAAGAAUUAGGAUUGAUGAGCAUUGCCGAAAAUAGUGCAGUAAAUGCUUGGGGCCCUGAUGAUAAAGCUGGUCAAAACGGAUCUGGUGUAGAUGAAAGCCAUGAAUUCGCAAGUGAAGAUAAAUCAAUUUGGUAUGGGUCAUCUUCAAUGCCUCACAUUAUGGACCAACCAAUUACUAGGGAUGCAACUUCACCCAAGUUGCACUAUCCUGGAACAAAAGGUCCUGAACUUGACAUUGAAGAUGACCUCUACGAGACUUUGAAUAUGGAUGAAGAUAGUUUGAAUAUUGAAAAUUAUGAAGAACUAUUUGGUGUAUCUCUCAGUUAUUCUGAAGAACUGCUGGAGAAUGGUGGUAUUGAUAGUUUGUUCAGGAUGAAAAACUUAUCUGCUGCUAAAUCUGGUUGCCCUGGCGCAGCUCCUGCAGAGGGGGUGUCAGGCGGUUUUGUUAACAAUACGAUGCAGCCUCCAAGCAGUAAUGCAGCAUCGGCAGAUUCCGUAAUGAGCACAAAGACUGAACCGGUCCUUUGUUAUAACAAUAAGCAAGAGCACUCCAGUUUAUCGUUUUCUGGCAUGACUGGAGAGAGUAGUGCAGGAGAUCAUCCAGACUGUGGAGCUUCAUCAAUGCUUCUAAUGGGAGAGCCUCCAUGGUGUUCCAUGAGCACUGAGAGUUCCUUCCAGUCAUCUAAUCGCAGUGAUGCUGUAAUGCGCUAUAAGGAAAAGAAGAAAGCUCGAAAGUUUGAAAAGAAGGUGAGGUAUGCCUCUCGCAAAGUUAGGGCUGAUACUCGAAGACGUGUCAAGGGGCGCUUUGUCAAAGCUGGAGAAGCUUAUGACUAUGAUCCAUUGAAUCAAACCAGAAGCUACUGAAAGUUCAACUUUUGGAAUGAACAUGAAAAAGGAAAAAAAAAGAGAAAAAAAAAAAGGAUAUGUGGCUUAAGGGUCCAACAUUGUACUCCAAUCGAUGGAUAAAUAUUGAUAUCUCAGUGUUGGACGGGAAGUAUAGACGUAUACAAACAAACCUGAGUUUCAUCAGGUAGAUGUACAAAAGCCGGGUCUAAUAGCUCUAUCGAUACAACUCGUGGGGCCAAAAAAUCUGUAUCCAUACCACCUAAAACUAACAAAAAUAUUGGCAUCCAAGACAAUGUACAUUUCGGGGCUCUAAGUGAUGGGUAUAGUUUUCUUGGUUAAUCAAUGCAGCUUCAGCUCGUUUGCUAUGUACUUAAAAGUUUGAAAAAAAAAAAAAAAAAUACUGAUCUGAUCAUUGGCUGGCAAUGGCUGUGUUCACAAUAUGGAGGUCACCUCUUCCUCCUUGCUUUUGGCUACUUGACAAACAUGGCUGCACCAAAUUCACAGUUUCCAGGAUGUCAGCAGUCGCAUUGGAAAGUCCAAAAGGCAUAUAACCAAAUCAAGCAUCUAUACACAUGUUUCAAUAUGGAAUUCACUAUGUUUUUUCUUCUUAUUUUCUAUUUUUUUGGGGUCAAAUUGAAAUAAAGAUGGGAUUGAGAGUAUAACAUAGCCUAAACCUCACUCCUUGUGGUGGUUGACUUCAACAUAUUCUGAAAAGAUGAGAAUGUUAUAUUCUUUUAAUAGGG